UGUGCGUGUGUAUUUGUGUGUUUGUGCAUGUCCAAAACAAUUAUAAUUUAGAUCUACUGUUCCAUGGUAACCGUGGCCGGUCACAUGAUAUACUGGAUCAUGUGACCGGCCGCGUCAGCUUCACACAACGUGCCCUCAAGCUAACCUUACUACCGUGACGUGCCCUGCUGCUGCGGAUAACCACUGCGACUCCAGAAAAAGUAAACAACUGGUCAGAGAUGCCUCGUAAGGAGAGGAGGUUGAAACAAAAACAAAAGGAGCUGUGUGAGGCUGCAAAAGGCAGUGGAUCACUCACCAGCUGGAUGACAAAGAGCACAAAAGUGUCUGUACCAUCAGAUUAAUACAGCCCAACUCCAGCAACACAGAAGCACCAACCCCCUCAACAGAAGCUGUUUCAUGAGGUAAAACACACUCAUUUCGCUUUGCACUGACCUCAAACAAAUAUGUGAGUAUGUGUGAUAGGGUGUAUUUUGAUUCUACGUUCCAUUAUUUAUAGUAUGGGUUGGUACAUUUCAACCAGUUGUACAGCAAGGUAUGUUUCUGUAUAAUGUUUUAAAU